GACAGAGGGGGCAAGCGUUGCUCGGAAUCACUGGGCGUAAAGGGCGCGUAGGCGGGAUGGCAAGUCAGUCGUGAAAUCUCUCGGCUCAACCGAGAAACGUCGGCUGAUACUGCCGUUCUUGAGGGAUGCAGAGGAGACUGGAAUCCCCGGUGUAGCGGUGAAAUGUGUAGAGAUCGGGAGGAACACCGGUGGCGAAGGCGGGUCUCUGGGCAUUUCCUGACGCUGAGGCGCGAAAGCGUGGGGAGCAAACGGG
rnacentral:rRNA from 1 species